CAAAUGACAGCCGAAAUGCAUGGAGAAAAUUGUAGGCUCAGAGAAACUCCAAUCCACGAUGACCUUGACCCCUCUCUCACUCUUGGGCACGGCACAACUGGAACAACCCGAAUCGGUUGAUUGUUUUCCCUCUCCUUGAGCCCAAAGGUUCGUUGAUUUCUGAGCGCGCUCUCUCCCACACAUCGUCCUCUCUUUCUUUCAAAUAACCCAAAUUAAUUCUUUGAAUUUCAAGCAUCGACUCGCAGGCGUGUUUCUCGCUCUAGAAAAGGUUUAUCCAAAUCAAAGAAACCUAAGUUCUAUAACCCGGUCAUAAGUACCAUAUGGAGCUAUUGCCUGUCGAAGUGAUUGGGAACAUUCUCUCUCGUUUGGGUGCUGCUCGGGAUGUUGUAAUUGCAUCUUCAACCUGUCAAAAAUGGAGAGAAGCAGGUCGAAACCACCUUCACACCCUCUCUUUCAACUCAGGUGAUUGGCCAGUUUAUCGAGAACUAACAACCAGUCGAUUAGAGAUUAUAAUCACGGAGACCAUAUUUCAAACAAGUGGUUUGCAAAACCUCUCAAUUUGUAUGGGUGAUGUCGAUGAAUUCUCAGCUGCCCCUGUUAUAGCGUGGCUCAUGUACACUAGGGGAACCCUUCGUUACCUUCUAUACAUAGUUCGAACCACCCCAAAUGUUAACAUUUUAGAGAAAUGUGGCAGGCAAAAACUGGAAGUUUUGGUCCUUGGUUACACCUCAAUAUCGGGGGUGGAGCCUAGCUAUCAGAGAUUCCCUUGUUUGAAAUCUCUAGCCCUUCAUAGUGUGAGCAUUUCAGCAUUGGACCUCAGUCUCUUGCUCACUGCCUGCCCUAGACUUGAGGCAUUUUCACUUGUUAAUCCUGAUAUUGCCAUGUCUGAUGCACAAGCCACCAUGGAAUUGAGCAACUCCACUUUGAAGAAAAUCUAUGUAGAGUGUAUAAGUUUGGAUAAGUUCAUAUUAGAGGCUGAUAGUCUCGAUUGUCUACAUUUGAAGGAUUCUACUCUAGAGAUUUUCGAGCUCAUAAGUAAGGGGUCUUUGAAGCACCUCAAGAUUGACGAUGUUAGUGUUAUACAUUUGGAUAUUGGGGAAAGCACCGAGCUUCUUGAGGUGGUGGAUGUUAGUGAUUUUACUAUUAUGUGGCCUAAGUUCUAUCAGAUGAUAUCAAGGUCCUCAAAACUGAGGAGGCUUCGGCUUUGGGGGGUGGUGUUUGAUGCUGAGGAAGAGGUCAUGGACUUGGAGACUAUAGCGAUCUGCUUUCCUCAACUGACUCAUCUCUCUCUAAGUUAUGACUUGAGAGAUGGGUUGAUCCAUUACGGGCUUCAAGGGAGCUCCCGACUAGAGAAUGUGAUGGUUUUAGAAUUGGGUUCUACAGUUAUCAAUGAAUUGUUUGCUCAGUGGAUUGGUGGACUUCUAGAGAGAUGCCCCCAUCUUAAGAAGCUUAUCAUCCAUGGUUUCAUCUCAGAGACCAAAAGCCGGGAAGAAUGCCAGAUGGUGGCUAGUUUCACUGCUUCUAUUGUUCGUCUUAUGAGACGAUUUAUGCAUGUUGAUGUGCAGUUUGCUUAUCAAUAAUGUUCAUAUCAUUUUUGCUUUCUCUUUUUUCUUGUAUUGGUUUCAUAAUAAGGACUUGGCUCACUUGCUCAAGCAUGCCAACUUUAAAAAGUUGUGAUGGGUAUGUGGUGCGUACCAAUAAUGUUUCUCUUCAUGAAUGGCUCGUUUGGAAUUCGUUUCAAAUUUUGGGGUGGCAAGAUAUGUGUGAUCAAGUGAUUUAUGUUGCAUAUGAAGGACGAUGUCGAUGUUUUGGAGUUCUUCGAUUUACACUCCAAUUGUCUUUCAUUUUCCUCAGUUCGUGCUUGAGUUGUUGUAAAGGUUUGGGACCGUAUAAUGGGCUUUGGGCCAGAUAUAUACACACAUUUAUUGCUGAAGCUUAGAGACAUUGUUCAAAUCCUCUCGGAAACUGAGCAUUUCCUCGAAAUAAAAAAAAUGUUCAAGGCGAUGGGAGGUAAGAUAUGUAACAUAUGCACUUCCCAAAUUUUAGACUGAGUCUCUUUCCGCAUAUUCUUUCUUAUCAAGGACAUAACAUAAUCACCCAUGAAUAAUAUUGUAACUCUUAUGUGUUCCAACCUGACAAAUCUAUUAUCAUGUUACAAUACUAUACCUUCAGAAAAUUAUUCUCUUUUCCUUUUAGGCUCUACAAAUUAAUGACAUUGUUGACUGUGAUUUCAUGGAUAUUGUAAUAGAUUCAAGGGCUCUCAAAUCUGCGAUUCAUUAAAUCAAGCGAUCUUUAAGAGUAGAGAUAUCAAAAUUGGUGGAUGAUAACUUUUUGGUGGAACUAGUGAGAGAAAAUGGAUUUGCCUUCAUGAAGAUAGUGGAUAGAAUCUGCUCCAAUAGGCCUGUCUGAAUCAACAUAUGUUCAUCUGUCCCUGUGGAAAUUGUGGAAUGUUCGCAACUGUAUUGGAUGGAAUUUGCUCCAAUAGGACUGUCUGAACGAAUGUAUUUGUCAUCUAGUGCUAUGGGAAUAGUUGAACGUCACA